rnacentral:lncRNA from 1 species
UUUUCUGCGCCUCCAUUCUCAACUUUCUUUGCUUACAAAUCUCAGAAUUAGUCUCCAGUAAAUGAAUUAGUAGUAGAUAUGGAGGGAAUUGGUGCAGUGAGGAAAGCAAAACAGUGCUCCAAAGAUGGGGGAUCUCUUGGGAGUCUCUGUCUGUGACGGUAGUACAAUUAAUCCUCUAAGAAGUUCUGAGCAUUCCUUCUCUCUUUUUACUUCUCUUUCUCUCUCUUCCACAUUUUAUAUACAAUUUUUGAUGUGAUUAUCAUAAAAAAAAUUGGUUGAAUUAAGCGAGGUGACGAUAAAAUUCAUUGGUCUGUCAAUCCACUGAUAUUCUGAUGUGAAACAAUGAAUCCCGACAGGUUCCGAUCGCUUCAAACAUUUCUACUAUAUUUUUAUCUUCUUUUUAUAUUAUGAUUUAUUAUAUCUAUAUCUAUUUUUCUUUUUUUUGGUUUCAGUUUGAAAUUUUGUUUCAAUUAGAAAGGGGGCAGAGGAUGAAUUCUUGUUAACAAAUGGGUAAUUUGCGUCUGAAUUUUCCUUGAUGCUAUACUCACCUUGGAGAACUGAUGCCUCCCUCGAUCAGUAUAUAUUUUUCAUGAGAACCAAUGUAAAAAGUCUUUUCAAAUAUAUACUUUCGAUAAUUAAUAAUAUAAUCAUAAAUCAUCAUGAGAUGAGGUUUUGUUGGUUGAUUUACGUACAACCUUUUAAAGUUUUUAACUUUUUUUUUUCAUUUUUAAUAUCUUGUUUGGUAGUAAUUAAAAAAGUGGUAGAAAAGCUAGAUUAGAAGAUGGAAAUGAAAAUUAUAAAAAAAAGUUAUUGCUUUUAACAUUUAUUUUGAAAGUUAUGGAGACAACUGUUGUUGGAACAUGGAAGAAACAAGAUUUGUUGGUAUUUCUUGCUCAGGCAUGUCAUUUAAAUAACUCAGUUUAUGUUGUGAACAAGAUUACCAUUUUCUUCUCACUUAUUAAAUUAUUAUUUUAUUUUAUUAUACUUCUAUUGCAAAUAAUGGUGGUAUAAUAAAUAUAUAUAUAUAUAUAUAAAUAAAAUUAUUAUAUAUUUAUUUCAUGAGGGUAAAAUUAUUAAUGAUUUAGCAAUGAAAAAGGGAAAAUAAAUAAGAUAUAUAGAAUAUUGGAGUGUGAUAAAUAAAGUGUAUCAAAAUAAUUUAUAGAAUUAAAUUAUAUUUGUACAUUAAAUAAAUUAUUUUUUUAUUUAAUAAAUAAUUUUUAUUUAUUUGGAAAAGAUUCUUGGGUAUAAUAUUUGGUGCGAUAUGUACGGAAGAUAUUUAAAUACUGCAAGUAUGUUGUGCAAGUUAUUAAUCUGGGUCAUUAAAUUUCUAAGCAUGAGCUGGGAGAUAGAUAAAUUAAAUGAGGUUGAGUCAUGUAUUAGGAAGCAAGAGCUGUCAAAGCUAUUUAAAACCCAGCAAGGCUAGGAUUUAUGUUAAGCAAGAAUGAACUUUCUACAAAACCCAAAACCCAGACUUCUAAUUUUUGUUUCUUCAUUUGAGAGCAAACUUUCGGUUUUCAAUUUACUUCAUCUAUUUAAUAAACUCUCAAGUACCUUACACUUUUAAAUGGGAAUCAAGUUACUGAGAAGCCUGAAUUGGAGGUUGAAGAAGGUUGAAAUAAUUGAAUCAAUCCAAGCAAGGAAAUUUAGUAAAUUAAGAGGUGAUCUAUUCAAUUUUUGAUAUAUUAGAUAAUUUCGUAGGAAUUGAUAGGAGUUAUUUGCAAAUUGGGUUUUUUUGAUUUUAAGCGAUGAGGACUUAUUUCAAUUGAAAUUUGGGCUAGAAUUAUGUUUAAAUGUUUAUAAGUUCUGAGUUUUAAAACCAUGCUUACCAUUUGUUUGUGAAAAUGAUAUAAUGAAAAUUCUUGGUUAAAAUGGAAGACUUUUUCUUUUUUUUUUGAAAAGAAGCUCUUAACAUUAAAUCUAAUCAUACGGAAGUACAUCAGAAAUAAUCAAAGGAGGACUAUCUAUCCACUUUACUUGACCAGACACAGAACAUGACGCCCUUGCCAAAACAUGAGUAACACAAUUCGCUGAUCGCGGAACAUAAGAGAAAUGACAAUAACUAAAUUCUCUUUGAAGAACUUUAUAGUCAUUAAUGACGACGUCAAGUGCUGAGUCAUCCAGACUGUCAUUAUUAAGUGCAUUAAUCACCCCAAGAGCAUCAGAUUCCAUAACCACUUGAUUUAUUCCAGACCUUUUUAACCAACUAAGAGCUUCCCUAAUACCAAUGGCUUCAACAACUGAAGGAGAGAAUAAACCUAUCAACGAGCCUUGAAGACCCGCAACAAAGCUACCAGUAUCAUCCCUAACCACACAGCCAUAGCCCACUUUACCAUCUCCGGGGAAUAACCCUGUGUCAACAUUACACUUUUUAAACCCGGCCUCCAGUCUUUGCCAUCUAGAAUUUUGAGGCGGUGAUCGGGCCCAUGGUAAACUAACUUGACUUCGAGCAUCUUUCCAUUCUAGUAAGCCGUGAUUCGCUUCUUGAACCACUACGACACUCAAUUGCUGCUUAUUCUUCCACACUCGAUUGUUACGAUUGAGCCAAAUAAACCAUAAUAACAUCGCUGCCAUGUCUAACUGAUCAUUCAUACACUGCCUUCGCAGCUUAUUCCACCAAUAUGCAAUAGAAGUAGUUCCCUCUGAAUGGUCUCCAACGAUGGACGCAGCCCAAAUCAACUUUGCUACCAGGCAUUUAAUAAGCAAAUGAAAAUCAGAUUCCACUGCAUUACUGCACAUCGGACAGAGAGUAUCAACUUCGAUUUGUCGGGACCGGAGGGAAGAGAGACAUGGUAAACAGCAAGAGAGACUACGCCACAGGAAAUUUAUCACUUUCGGCGGCACUGAACGUUUCCAAACCUUUACCCAGUUUGUGAUAGGAGGAGAUGACACUAUGUCACUACCAGUUUGGAGAACCCGAUAUCCAGACUUCACCGAAUAACGACCCUUUUGAUCCCAACUCAAAAUUCUCUUAUCAACACAGAGUGAUUUAGGAAGAGGGAUUGAAAAGAUGAGCCGGACAUCUCUUUCAGAGAACAUAGUACUAAUAACAUCAAAAUUCCAUGUAGCCAAGCCUGGACUAAUAAGUGUAUCUGCCGUAGCCAGAGG